AGCCAGCCCCCGGCAGGGCCAGCGCAGGGUUUCUGCGGGGCCGUCCUGUGGCUCUGAUAUCUAUGAGUGGGUGGCCAGCAAAGGCACAGGCACCAGCAGAAAGGAGCAGAGAUGCCCAGAACAUGCUGUCCCCCAAUGCCAGCCCCAAGCGAGGCCAGCUUAGGGUGCGGUGGGCAGAGCCAUCCUGCAGCUCUGAGAUCCACGAAGUGGAGGUGGGAGUAGCGCCAGGCUCCACGGCGUUGGAGCUCUCACAACUUGAGCUCAAUUUUAUUCCGGAGCCAUGACCUGCAGCACAUUGGUGACCAGAAGACGCCCAAAGGGUUUCCCAGAGGAAGAGAGAGAAUUUGGACAAAUGAAUGAGGAACAACGCUCUCCUGAGGGUUUUCUUUAAGGGGCGAGGAUCACUGCCGCUAGCUCCUUUGAAAGCAAAGUUAAGAGGCAGCGCAGGAAGGCACAGCAGGAAGGCUCAUGGUUAGACUACAGAGAAGGAAGCAGCCACUGCUGGGGACCUACCCUGUGCUGGUCACUGACAAGCUGUCUCAUUAAACCUUCCCGGACCCUCAACCCCUCCUAGUAUCUUAUCCUCAUUUUACAGAUGAGAAGACUGCGGCCAAGAGAGGUCCAAUGCCAGUGGGAUCAGCUUCGAUGGGAUGCGCACAGACUGACCUCUUCUCCCCAGCCCCUUCAACUUCCCAGAGCUGCAGGGGGCCUGGGAGUUCUUGGUAACAGCACAUUAAACCUCUGUUUGUGGGAACUUUAAUUUAAACACAAAUUAGAGAAGGCAAAUGACUCUGGCAGCCAGAUAAGCCAUCCCAGGAAAACAAGGAGAAAGCCAAGAGAAUCAGCCCAGAUAAGGUCUGACUUUAAACUACUGCUGAUACCCAGAAGCCUGGGACAGAUGAAAUCUAGGGGUCCUGAAUGAAGAACCCCAGAAGCUCCACACCCCAGUUGUCCUUGCUCUGGGCUCUAUGCCAGCUCCCUUUCCUGUGUUCUCUAUAUUUCUAUCUUUUUGCAAAAUUUUAUCCUGAUUCUUUGGCUCCAUCCCUCCCACCCCCACCCUACUGUUUUAGAGAAUGCACUUUCUUUACUUUGCUUCUCAUCUUCUUCUGUGACCUACUAUUCUGAGAAAGUUCUACUUGUUAUCUAACCUCCAUCUAUGCUACUACCUUUAGAGUCUAAUACAUCCUGCUUAGUGAUAACUCUGGGAGUUUCUGUUCAUGUGGCAAAUGUGGUGUAGUAAAAACAACCUGAAAAA
rnacentral:lncRNA from 1 species